rnacentral:rRNA from 1 species
CUCGUAGGCGGUUCGGUAAGUCAGGUGUGAAAACCCGGGGCUCAACCCCGGGACGCCACUUGAUACUGCCGUGACUGGAGUCCGGUAGAGGAGUGUGGAAUUCCCGGUGUAGCGGUGGAAUGCGCAGAUAUCGGGAGGAACACCAACGGCGAAGGCAGCACUCUGGGCCGGUACUGACGCUGAGGAGCGAAAGCAUGGGGAGCGAACA